CUACGGGCGGCACCAGUGAGGAAUAUUGCACAAUGGGGGGAACCCUGAUGCGGCAACGCCGCGUGGAGGAUGACGCAUUUCGGUGUGUAAACUCCUUUUAUAUGUCAAGAAAAUGACGGUAGCAUAUGAAUAAGCACCGGCUAACUCCGUGCCAGCAGCCGCGGUAAUACGGAGGGUGCAAGCGUUACUCGGAAUCACUGGGCGUAAAGGACGCGUAGGCGGGCUUGUAAGUCAGGUGUGAAAUCCUACAGCUUAACUGUAGAACUGCACUUGAAACUACGAGCCUAGAGUAUGGGAGGGGGAGAUGGAAUUAGUGGUGUAGGGGUAAAAUCCGUAGAUAUCACUAGGAAUACCUAAAGCGAAGGCGAUCUCCUGGAACAUAACUGACGCUAAGGCGUGAAAGCGUGGGGAGCAAACAGGAUUAGAUACCCCAGUAGUC
rnacentral:rRNA from 1 species